GACGAACGCUGGCGGCGUGCCUAAUACAUGCAAGUAGAACGCAGUUGCGAACGGGUGAGUAACGCGUAGGUAACUGCCUGGUAGCGGGGGAUAACUAUUGGAAACGAUAGCUAAUACCGCAUACUACCAGAUGGACCUGCGUUGUAUUAGCUAGUUGGUGGGGUAACGGCUCACCAAGGCAACGAUACAUAGCCUACCUGGGAGGGUGGUCGGCCACACUGGGAAUGGGACACGGCCCAAGAUCCUACAGGAGGGAGCAGGAGGGAAUCUUGGGCAAGGGGGGGAAACUUGACCGAGCAACGCCGAGUGAGUGAAGAAGGUUUUCGGAUCGUAAAGGUAGGUUGUUAAGGAAGCGUUACUUAACCAGAAAGGGACGGCUAACUACGUGCCAGCAGCCGCGGUAAUUC
rnacentral:rRNA from 1 species